rnacentral:tRNA from 1 species
GGGAGCGCGCCGACGUUGGAGAGUCGGGCCUGUCUGUAAAACAGGUGCUUGUCUGAGGCGGUUCGAAUCCGCCCGCUCCCAC